rnacentral:lncRNA from 1 species
UUUGAGUUAAGUUUGGGUGGUUUAUGCAACUGAAGUCAAUUUGGAAGUUUAAUAGCUAACUAUUGUUUGAUUAGUUUAUGGGCUCCGUAUUAUUAUUUGUUCAGUGGAGGAUUAUUCUUUUUCUUGCUUUUCGGUAAAAGCAAUUUGCAAGAUAGAUUAAUUUGGCAAAAUCGUUUGACAUUUGAAAGCUCGUUGGAAUGUUAA